UACGGGGGGGGCAAGCGUUGUUCGGAAUUACUGGGCGUAAAGGGCUCGUAGGCGGCCAACUAAGUCCGACGUGAAAUCCCAAGGCUUAACCUUGGAACUGCGUCGGAUACUGGAUGGCUUGAAUUCGGGAGAGGGAUGCAGAAUUCCAGGUGUAGCGGUGAAAUGCGUAGAUAUCUGGAGGAAUACCGGUGGCGAAGGCGGCAUCCUGGACCGACAUUGACGCUGAGGAGCGAAAGCUAGGGGAGCAAACGGGG
rnacentral:rRNA from 1 species